rnacentral:rRNA from 1 species
GGGGAAUAUUGGACAAUGGGCGCAAGCCUGAUCCAGCAAUGCCGCGUGAGUGAUGAAGGCCUUAGGGUCGUAAAGCUCUUUUACCCGGGAUGAUAAUGACAGUACCGGGAGAAUAAGCUCCGGCUAACUCCGUGCCAGCAGCCGCGGUAAUACGGAGGGAGCUAGCGUUGUUCGGAAUUACUGGGCGUAAAGCGCGCGUAGGCGGUUAUUCAAGUCAGAGGUGAAAGCCCGGGGCUCAACCCCGGAACUGCCUUUGAAACUAGAUGACUAGAAUCUUGGAGAGGUCAGUGGAAUUCCGAGUGUAGAGGUGAAAUUCGUAGAUAUUCGGAAGAACACCAGUGGCGAAGGCGACUGACUGGACAAGUAUUGACGCUGAGGUGCGAAAGCGUGGGGAGCAAAC